rnacentral:rRNA from 1 species
GUGAGGAAUAUUGGUCAAUGGGCGAGAGCCUGAACCAGCCAAGUCGCGUGAAGGAAGAAGGAUCUAUGGUUCGUAAACUUCUUUUGCAGGGGAAUAAAGUGCAGGACGUGUCCUGUUUUGUAUGUACCCUGAGAAUAAGGAUCGGCUAACUCCGUGCCAGCAGCCGCGGUAAUACGGAGGAUCCGAGCGUUAUCCGGAUUUAUUGGGUUUAAAGGGUGUGUAGGUGGAUUGAUAAGUCAGCGGUGAAAGUUUGCAGCUUAACUGUAAAAUUGCCGUUGAAACUGUCGGUCUUGAGUGUAAAUGAGGUAGGCGGAAUGCGUGGUGUAGCGGUGAAAUGCAUAGAUAUCACGCAGAACUCCGAUUGCGAAGGCAGCUUACUAAGCUACAACUGACACUGAAGCACGAAAGCGUGGGGAUCAAACAGGAUUAGAAACCCUGGUAGUAC